UACGUAGGGGGCAAGCGUUGUCCGGAAUCAUUGGGCGUAAAGCGCGUGUAGGCGGCCCGGUAAGUCUGCUGUGAAAGUCGGGAGCUCAACCCUCGGAUGCCGGUGGAUACUGUCGGGCUCGAGUACGGAAGAGACGAGUGGAAUUCCUGGUGUAGCGGUGAAAUGCGCAGAUAUCAGGAGGAACACCAAUUGCGAAGGCAGCUCGCUGGGACGUAACUGACGCUGAGACGCGAAAGCGUGGGGAGCAAACAGG
rnacentral:rRNA from 1 species